rnacentral:sRNA from 1 species
GGUGGGGCCAGUUGUAUGAUCCAGAAUGUUCCCCUGUGGGUGAGAGGAUGCCCUGUCAUUGGCCGCCUGGGUUACAGACCUCCCCACAGCCUCAUCUCGACUUACCUGCCGUUCUCUCCUAGAAUGGCCCAGAGUUGCUGCCUCGCGUGGCCAUGCUGCGUCUUCUGACUUGGGUGAUCGGGACGGGCUCGCCUCGCUUACAGGUUCUGGCUUCAGACACCCUGACCACCCUGUGUGCCAGCAGCAGUGGUGAUGAUGGCUGUGCCUUUGCGGAGCAGGAGGAGGUGGAUGUGCUGCUCUGUGCCUUGCAGUCCCCGUGUGCCAGCGUGCGGGAAACCGUGCUCCGGGGGCUGAUGGAACUCCACAUGGUAUUGCCAGCACCUGAUACCGAUGAGAAGAAUGGCCUGAACCUUCUGCGGAGACUCUGGGUGGUCAAGUUUGACAAGGAGGAGGAGAUCCGGAAGCUGGCUGAGAGGCUCUGGUCAAUGAUGGGCCUAGACCUGCAGCCAGACCUAUGCUCCUUGCUGAUCGACGACGUGAUCUAUCAUGAGGCGGCUG